rnacentral:lncRNA from 1 species
GAAUGUAGAUACCUAAUGUAUAGUAUAAACAAAGAUAGAUAACUGCUGAAAAGGUGGUUCAGCAGAUAGAAUGGAUGAAUAGUUAGAAAAAGUAGUUAUCAUCUAUAGUAUAGGAGUUGGUAUCUCAGGAUAGUAUAAAGAGGAUGGGAGAGGGGAAGAAAAUGCCAGACUGUGAAAAUUGUGAGCCGAAGGCCAAACUACGAUAGUACUGAGCUAGGGA